UUCCAACAGAAACGAAGCUUUCAGCUUCCAGGGGAGGGAAGAACGAAAACUUCACCGAAACCCUUACGUUACUUUCCAAAUCCCAUAACUUCUCCGUCCGAACUCCGAUUACCGCACCGUUUGCGGCCACGCGUCCACCGCGUCGAGCUCUACAUUUCUACCUGAACAAUUUUACUGGAUCCAAUUAGCUUGAGGAAAAUGUUCACUCUUACUUAUGUGAAGUUUGGGUAAGGUUGUGAAUAAAUAAUUGGAGCUUGAAAUUGUGAAUACUGGAACUUGGAGGAAGCGUAUUAGUUGAGUUUUGAAGGGCUGCCUUGGUUUUGAAUAAAUAGCUUUGGUUGUUACGUGGAAAUUGGGCAAGAUGCAGGUCGAGAGGCAUCUCGUUAGGCGUCUGGACCCUUGAAGCGGAGUGGUUACAGU